GAGCCCGGCCCCAAAAAGGGCACAGGCCCAAAACCUAAUAGGGAAAGCCCAAAUCGAAAAGAAAAACCCUAACAAACUACACCACCACCCCAGCCACCAUCAAACGCCACUUAGGAAAAGCCUGAUUGAGUUGCAUUGGCCUUGCUAAACCUCUACCCUAUCUCUGCAAAUUUGUAUCAAGUUGCUCAUUACCAAUGGCGAUUCAGCCAACCCAGAUUGCGGGAAGGCCCGAUUGAGUUGCAUUCACCUACCCACUUCCCUCUGCGGUUUGGUUUUCUUCUUCAUCUCUCUCUCUCUCUCUCUCUCUCUCUCUCUCUCUCUCUCUCGUGAUUUUCUCUGAAUCUGUUGGCUAGGUAGUAAACAACAUUAGGGUUUUUAAGCUUUUCUACUACGUUAUGGAAGAACCCUAAUUGGCAGCUCGAUUUAGGGCACCAUUCUCGGAAAUUUUUCUAACCCCAAAAAAAACACAGACACAAUCGCAGCACCACUCUAUGGCGUUCGAAAGCAGCUCCAAUACUUGUCGAGAACCCAAAAGGACCAAUAAGACCUCUCAAAGCCCCCUUUGGACGGAAGAUUCUCAGCCACUGCCGAACCUCCCGUGUGAAAUCAUUGUGGAAAUACUGUCGAGGCUUCCCGUCAAGUCUCUGCUGCGAUUGAGGUGUGUUUGCAAGUCAUGGCGUUCUUUGAUUUCUAAUCGCAAAUUUGUGAAAACCCAUGUCAGUCUUGCAUCUAUGAACACUGAUUAUUCCAACCAUAGACUCAUUCUAAGCAGUUUGAAUCCCCUUAGUGAUUUCAAGUCAUGCUCUCUUUACUCUAUUUUGAAUGACAAAUCCGAUAGUGCUGUUCAGCUGGAUUGUCCUUUGAAAGUACCUGAUCUUCAAGUUACGAUUUGGGGUUGCUGUGAUGGUUUAGUGUGCAUCGGAACUGAAAGGGAAGUAUUUAUAUGGAACCCAUCUACUGGGAAAUACAAGGGAUUGCCGAAUGUUGAAAUGUGGUACUGUUGCUACGGGAAGUUUGCGGAGUAUGCGUUUGGUUAUGAUGAGUGUAUUGAUGAUUACAAGGUGGUGGGAUUCUUUUUUGACAAUCGCACAAGUGGUUCUAAUCCCAUUAUGAAAGUGUGUACAUUAAGGUCUGAUUCGUGGAGAAGGAUAGGAGACUUUCCUCAUGGUGUUCCUGAAGAUCCUUCAUGGGUAUUUGUGAACAGGGCCCUCCACUGGGUCCACUCAUCUUCGAUUGGCGAGUCCAAUGAUAUUAUUGUUUCUCUUGACUUGGAAAAGGAAACUUAUGGAGAGGUUUCGGAACCUGAGUAUCGAGAUGGUUAUUCUUAUGAGAUCUCGUUAGGAGUUCUAAAUGGAUGCCUAUCUAUACUCUGUAACUACUACGAUGAUUGUUUUGAUGUAUGGGUAAUGAAGGAAUAUGGCAUUAGAGAUUCUUGGACCAAGUUGGUUGUCAUACCUUAUGUGGCACAUCCACUGCCAUCGGAUUGUCAGUAUUCCACACCAUUAUGCGUUUUGGAGGAUGGUGAAGUUUUACCGGAUAUGGGUUGUCCGUAUUCCACACCAUUAUGCGUUUUGGAGAAUGGUGAAGUUUUACUGGAUAUGGUUACGCAAUUAGUUCGGUUCAAUCCCAAAGAUGGCACAUUUAGUUAUCCUAUGAUUCAUAAUUGUUCUGCACGUUUACGUGCAUAUCCCUACAUUGAAAGCCUUGUCUCGCCUGACUACGUUGAUGACAGUGGGGUUCAGUGGCAAAACCAAUACUAAAGGGAAUUAAGGUAAACUUAGAUGUUUGAUUAUGUCUUACUAGCCUUUCCCAACUCUUGUUAAUGCACAAUGUGUUUGUCUUUGUUCUUGUGUUCAUUUUGGGGGUUUCUAACUUAGAGGGACAAGUUCAAGUAAAAAAACUUAAAGUGAAACAUUGAUGCUCUCUUUUUUUGGGAGUGAGAGGAAUUAAAUGUUUCCUUCAUUGGCCAAGUCCAUUGCUUCAACUUCUUUUAAUUGCCUCAAUGACAUUUGAUGGUUGACUUUUUAGCAGUUGGACUUCUGUGAUUAGUUAAGGCUGCAGCAUAUUUUUUGCUUGGAACCCCAAAUAGAGCCAAUCAAGAAGCGAAAAUUCAAAGAGAACUGAUGGCCAUGCAUGUUUAAUUCAUACCUUUUUUUUCACGGAACUGAGGACAUGUGAUUUCUUGAUCAACUAGCUUAUAAUGUAAUGCUCGUGGUGUGAAGACUUGUACUUGCUUAUUUUGAAUUUUUUUGGCAUGUAAUUAGAGCUAGUACUCUUUUAUUUGUGUUUGAAAUGUUAAUGUGUAUGGACACAAUCUAGUACUUUCACAACUCUGGACGGUACAUGGUACCUACAAACUGUGAUGGCUAUUUUGGGAACUUAAUUGCAUAACUAUGGCUUUUCCUGUUUA